rnacentral:lncRNA from 1 species
CUAUGAUAAAUAAAACUGUACAAGAGCCCUCCUUUUGUAGGUGAAGGAGGCAAACACAUAAAGUAAGUAAUUAAUGUUAAUUACACAAAUCAUGCUCUAAUUAUACAAUUAAAUAAAUCAUGGAGAUUGGUCAAUCAAUAUAAUUAGGGAGUUAUGCUAACAUAUACCACUACCAUCUUCGCUGGGAAAGGAUAGAAUAUUGGUGGGUUUUAUGUUACAAUGAACAAACCCUUUCUCUUGGACGUGAGAGAGAGCCUUAAGGAGCAUAUAGCAAUAACACGCAACGACAGAUUCGGGCAUAUUGCCCGAGUAUUUCUCGAUCAAAUCGGCGAGGGAUCCAAUAGGAGCGUAGUCAAGGAGAAGAUUGUAGACCUCUCUAUUAUUUUCGUAACUUGUAUCAUCACCAAAACAGUGAACAAUUUCGGGGCAACCUCUCAGUUUGAACAAAAUUUCUCCUUCAUUCUUCAGCGAAGUAGAAUGCGGAGUAGUGGCAGACUUCACGGCAACGGUAGAAACGGAAAGAGGAGAAUCGAAAUUUAUUGCCAAAUGUACGGUUCCAUAUGAACCUGCACCAAGGAUGUGGGCUUUCGUCUAGAAACUGAAACGAAAUAAGGUAAAAUUUGAAACAAAGGAAAGGGAAAAAUUAGGGUUUCAUGGUGAAUUUCUUCUCUCCGGAUGAUAGAACUAGGAAUUUUCCUUUAUUAUGAAAGUCUAAAAUUUCUAUAUGUUUCUUGCAGUAUUGUUUCCUUGUUUACAUAGGGGUCUUAAUGUACCUGAAAAUUUGAAAUCGUGUCGAG